rnacentral:sRNA from 12 species
ACCUUAUACAGAUGUAGUGACGCAAGACAGUGACACAUCUCCCUGUAAGGUGGUGUUUAGAUAGAAGUAUAAGCGACAAGUUCUAUUGCGUGACUUUUCAGUCGAAAUAGAAUGAGCUUGUAUGGAGUAGGUUAACCGUAAGACCUUGAAUUGCAAAAUUCUAAAAUUGACCUAGAAAUGAAUUUCUCAAAUUUCCUUAUUUCUAGUUACGGUGAA